GGGGCUGUAGCUCAGGGGGAGAGCGCUUCCUUGGCAGGGAAGAAGUCGCGAGUUCGAAUCUCGCCAGCUCCACCA
rnacentral:tRNA from 1 species